GGUGGUCGACAAAAACUUUUACCGGAAUUAAGUUAGGUUCACAAGAGUGAUUGAUGAAGCGGGCUAUAUUGCCAUAACGGCGGGCGUCGAUGCAGUAAGUUUCUCCGUCCUAUUAACAAAUAUUAAUAGAUCGAAAAGAUAUGAAUCAUCCUCACGUUGAUCAGCUUCAAAGUCUGUGAUGAUUUCGCCAAUGUAUCUACGAGAUGAGAUAAACAAAUUAUUAUCUACGUAAAUCACGACAAAGUUCGGGUACACUUACUCGCAGACGUAGGAUCCCCUAGGAAUGGGUUGAGCUGUUCGGACGCCCCAACCUUUGUUUUCGAUGCGGAAAAGAACUAAACGCGAGAUCGAAACGCCCGCCUCUAUGUAUCAGGAGCAAGGCGCAUUCACAGUUAUCUCGACGACUUGCCGUGUGCCUUUAAUUGCAUAAUGUAACGAUAAAGAAAUCAACUCAUCCUGAAAAUGAAGCAAAAAUCAACUUACAGUGGAGUGUCGCCAUGAACGUUGGCAGCAUUCACUUCACAUCCUUGGUCAAGUAGAAGGGCUACAAUAUCAACGGAUCCAGAGAAAGCAGCCCAGUGCAAAGCAACGUUCUGCUCUGCGUCUCGCACAUUAGGAUUCGCCUUACAUUGAAACUAGUGGUGUCCAUCCUCCAUCGUCUUGAGCGUUGAUGAAAUUUUUGCCAUUUCCGAUUGUCAUGAUGUAAUGGCAAGCUUCUAGAUUGCC